rnacentral:lncRNA from 1 species
CACGCCAUUCUCCUGCCUCAGCCUCCCGAGUAGCUGGGACUACAGGCGCCCGUCACCACGCCUGUAUUGGCUUUACUUCUUUGUCAAAGAUUGGUUAAUUAUAUUUAUGUGUACCUAUUUCUGUUCUAUCGAUCUAUUUGUCUAUUCUUUUGCCAAUAUCACACUUUCUUACUUACUGGGACUUCAUUAUGAGGCUUGAAAUUACAUAGCAUAGGUACUCUGAUUUCCUCUUUUUUAGUAUUGUAUUAGCUAUUCUGCAUCUUUUGCCUCACCAUAUAAACUUUAGAAUCAGUUUGUUGGUGUUCACAAAAUAAUUUGCUGAGGUUUUGACUGAGAUUUUGUUGAGUCUGUAGAUCAAGUUGGGAGGAACUGACAAGUUGACAAUAUUUAGUCUUUCUAUCCAUGAACAUGGACUCUCUUUAUUUAUUUAGUUCUUCUUAGAUAUAUUUUGUCAGAUUUUUAUAGUUUUUCUCAUAUAGAUCUUGUACAUAUGUUGCUUGAUUUAUUUCUAUUCAUUUUUGGGUGCUAAUAUGAGUGAUACUGUAUUUUACAAUUCAAGUCUCAUUUUUCAUUGAUGGUGCAUAAAAAAGUAAUUGUCUUUUGUACAUUAACCGUUUAUUCUGAAACCUAAUUGCUUAUUAGUUUCAGGUUUUUUUUCUUGUCAGUUUCUUUGGAUAUUCUCCAUAGGUAAAUAUGUCACCUGAAAACAAAGACAGUUUAAUUUCUCCUUUUCCAAUUUAUCUACCUUUUCUUUUCUUUUUCAUUGCAUUAGCUUAAACUUCCUGUAUAAUGUUGAAAAGCUGUGGGGACAGAGAACAGUCUUGCUUUUUCCCUGAUCUUAAUGUAAGAGAUUUGUGUUUCUCACCAUUAUAUAUGAUGUUAGCUAUAGGUUUUUUAUAGAUGUUCCUUAACAAGUUGAGGAAGUCCUCUCCUAAUUUGUUGUUUUUUAAAUCUUGAAUGUUGAAUUUUUUCAACUGCUUUUUCUUCAUUUAUUAAUAUGAAUAUAUGACUGUUCCUUUUUAGCUUGUUGGUGUGAUGGAUAACAUUAACUGAUUUUUAAAUGUUGAACCAGCCUUGCAUCCCUGAAAUAAAUCCCACUUGUUUGUGGUGUAUUAUUCUUUCUAUAAGAAUAUUCUCAACAAAAUGUUAAGUAUGUUUGUUAGAUUCACUUUGCUAAUAUUUUGUUUAGGAUAUUUAAAAUAUACUUAAAGCAAAAAAAAAAAAAAGCUAACCAGCUAGCUAGAUAUAAACAGAUGUAGGUAUCAACAAAGCCAGAGCUCUAAAAAUAUUUCUGUUACCACCUCUCAGAAACUGUAAACAUCUUUAGCUUGUAGAGUUUGAGAAUUUCAUCUGUUCUGGUCUAGGGAAAUAUUUGCUUACUGAAUAAUUCAGUUUUACUGAUCUUUUCUAUAUGACUAUGACUCAGGAUUAUCAUCCUAAAUUGAGAUCCACUAGAAUUGUCAACUCUUUGCAUCAGAAUACUUAUUAACAAUUUAUGGAAAUUUCCAUGAUUUGUCUAUGCAUGCUCCCAAAGUGCAGUUUUCUGUUCUUAAGUGUUUAUUUUUCUACAAUGUUUUAAAGUAUUUCAGCAGCUACUUGAAAUCUUGCAAAUGACCUCUUUUUCUACUUUUGCAGUCAUGUUGUACUGUAUUAUAUUUUCUCUGAUAGUCCUUCUUUUCUGCCAGUGUUGUGUUUGGAGUGCCUCUAAGUUUUACUUAGCAAUCUAUAUGUCCUCAUUAUCAAGACUGAACUCAUUAAUGUUAUCUUUCUGUUACCUGAUGCUAAUCAAUUUUAUAAUGUAAUUAUUUCUAGAUGUUUUCCUAUUCAUUUAAUAGUGUCUGUCCAAGAUAUCAAAUAUCUGAAUGAAUUACUGAACAUUAUAAAUGUAAGCUUUUACAAGGUUUCAAAUAUUCUGUGUCUUAAAAGUUUAGAAAACUUUCGCUUAAAAAUUUGGAUGCAUUUGUGACAAAUAUGAAGAAAAACAUUGUUUUCAUGUGGCCCAGUUUGGAAAUCUUCAGUUUGUUCUUUUUCUUGCAUAUAUGCAUGUUAUGUUUAUGUUUUUAUCAUGAGAGUUGUAUAAGAAAAAUAUUUGAAAAGACUGGCAUGCACUGAUAACUCAUAAUUCAAAAUUCAUUUUUAAAGAAUUAAUGACAUAUUUUAUGUUAAUAUAAUAAUAAAUGGCAAAUAAAUAUAUUCUGGCUACUCGAUUGAAUAAAUGUGGGGGUAGUGGUCUAUUUUUAACAUUAGAUCAUUGAAUAUAGUGAGAACAUACCUAUAGCACUAUGUAAUUAUUCAGGUUACAUUCACUGUUUAACUGCUCUUAAUGUGUACUGUAGGUGGGCGUUUUAAGCACAUAGAUGAAUUGUAGAGUAAGAACCAUUAUGUUCAUGUCAUGUAUAAAGUGGUAUAUGUGAUUGCAAGAUAUUAAACCAUGAAAUGAGUUAACCAUUGUUUCCUUGGAAACAAUGAUGAAUAAAAUAACUCAUUACACUGAAUUAACCUGAGGUAAUAGAGCUCAUGAAUUAUAUCCCACCUACAUGUCUCUCUUUCUCCUAGGUCUUUUCAGUAUAUUAUCUCUGAAGUUGUCUACCUUCCCCACAGAUUCUUAUAACUCAGGGUUAAUUACAUGCUUUCAAAUUGUAGAGUACCCAUCUCUUAAUUCUAUAUUAACUACUUUGUUAAUUUCAUCAUUGAUUACCCCCCAAUUUGUUUUUGUUUUCUUGAUAUUAUAAAUAUGUGAUGAUUUUUUCUUAAAAAUUAAAAUAUUAAAUGUAAUAAAACCACCAAUGGGAUUAUAUUUAAUCAUUGGCGCUCAACUAUUUUUGCUCUUUAUACAUUAUUUUGGCCAGGUGAAGUUAAGAGAAUGUGUUAAAAGUAAGUAUGGUAGAAUCCCAAAAAUAACUCACUAAUGAUGUCACAGAAAAAUUCUCAACUAGGAAUCAACAGACUUGUUUUAAUUUUGCUUAUCUCUCUCUUGCUGGUAAUCUCUUCCAGAUUAAGUUUUAUUAUCUGUAUUGGGAUAAUAAAACCUAUUUUACUUACCUCAACUAAAUUGUUAAGUGGAAUGAAGUCAUGUAUCUAAAAGUACUUUGAAA